UUUUACGGGAUCGAAUAAGGUUUGGUCAUUGUAUUCCCUGAAAGGAAUGAGAGGAGAAAAGAAACUGGAAGACCUGGCUAUCUGCAGGCCAAUGCUGGCUGCAGGUCAAUAUUGAAUGCUCUUAUGAAAACUCAUAAGACAAUAACAAAAAAAAAAGAAGCUGAGGAUGCUGUUUUUAAAACAUGCUCCAUUCAAAAAAGGUGGAUUUAAAUUUAAGAAAGGUGUGACGGGUGCGUCUGCUGCAGGCAGGGAGGAUUUGACGGUCAGCCAGAGGAUUUGGAGAUAUACUGUAAUGUCUUUAAUGUGGACUUGCGUGUGAUUUAGGUUUUCACAAGGGUUUUAGUGUGUGUGAAAGUAUGUCAGUUUUCAAAAUUGAGCUAUGACAAUUUGCUCAAACUACAUAACUCAAAGAACUUUGAAGCGGUCUUGUUGACGUCAUGAGCUUUUGUUUAAUACCAGUAUUGGUGAUAUAGGCCCAUGAUUAUAUACUGUAGAAAGUGAACAAGUUCACUGCUCGAUACAGAUAAUCAUAUAGCCUGAUCUCUGAAUGAUAUUUAUGAACCAAAAGAAGGCAUAAAAUAAAAACAUACUGUAGUGAUUUGAAUUAUUGAUAUUGUUAAACUAGAUCUGGGCCUGUAUUCAUAAAGGAUCUUAGUAAAAAAAUUAUCUAGAACUUAAUAUUCUUUGAACAUUCAAGUCAAAAACUUUUCACGCUCUUUAAAUAUUUCACAGCAUGACUCCAAACUUGUAUAUUAUACCAAAGAAAAAUAGAUUGGCAACUUGAAAGGCGUAUAGAGCAAAUCUCACCAACAUCACAUGGCAACUGAAUGAGGUCUCCUUUUAGUAAGCAUAUUUGAUCACAAUUGAUCAAGUCAGCAAACGCUUUGAAAUAAGAAAACUUGAUCGUUUGUGUAUAAUGCUAAUG